UCCCGUAUUGGGCUUCGCUGUGCAUGACCCAUCUCAGCAGGAUGGCCAAGGACCUCAUCCUCUAGGGCACCAAGGAAUUCAGCUUCGUGCAGCUCUCGGAUGCCUACAGCACCGCAGCAGCCUGAUGCCCCAGAAGAAAAACCCUGACAGCUUGGAGCUGAUCCAGAGCAAGGUGAGGCAUGUGUUUGCGCGGUGUGCUGGGCUCCUCAUGACCCUCAAGAAACUUCCAGCACCUACAACAAAGACUUACAGGUGUGAGGCUGGGGUAGUGGCCAGUGGAGGCCCGCUGCCUACAUACCACAUGCCAGUUCUCGGGGCUCUGGCACACCCAGGCAGGGGUCCCCCAGGAUUGCCAUACAUCCUCCCAUCCGUGGCUGCCCUUGGAGCUCUCUGCCCUUCCUUUCUUGGGGUGCUGAGUGUUCUUCCCAUGGAAGGCAGUGAGGAUGCCUCAGUGGGGGUGGGGCUGUGGGGACCCUGGGUGCCAGGGGGCUGCUAGGCCCUCACCUGCUGCCAUGUGCCUCCCAGGACAAGGAAGCUGUGUUUGAUGUGUCAGAUACUGUGAGUGCCGUGUUCCAGGUGGCCACUGGCGUCAUCUGUAUGCUGCAGGCAAGACACCACCCACCUGCCUCUCCUCCCCUAAGUCCCAGACACUGGAGUGGGCAUGCCAGGAGGGUGGCCUUGGGAGGAGGUGAGGCGGGGCUGGAGGACCUGGGGCAGGGAAAGGAGAGGUGUGUUCGCUCCUGCUCCCGGGGAACAGGGAAGAGACAGAAACUGCUGCCACACAAUGGAAGUAGAUGAGACUCAAGGGGCCUGAGGCUCAUCAACAGAACCCUUUUAAAAAGGAAAAUUUAUACAAAAGUCCAGUAUGGUGGCUCAUGCCUGGAAUCCCA